GGAUCCAGACUUUGAUUAUGGCUCAGGAUGAACGCUAGCUACAGGCUUAACACAUGCAAGUCGAGGGGAAACGACAUCGAAAGCUUGCUUUUGAUGGGCGUCGACCGGCGCACGGGUGAGUAACGCGUAUCCAACCUGCCCAUCACUUGGGGAUAACCUUGCGAAAGUAAGACUAAUACCCAAUGAUAUCUCUAGAAGACAUCUGAAAGAGAUUAAAGAUUUAUCGGUGAUGGAUGGGGAUGCGUCUGAUUAGCUUGUUGGCGGGGUAACGGCCCACCAAGGCUACGAUCAGUAGGGGUUCUGAGAGGAAGGUCCCCCACAUUGGAACUGAGACACGGUCCAAACUCCUACGGGAGGCAGCAGUGAGGAAUAUUGGUCAAUGGACGAGAGUCUGAACCAGCCAAGUAGCGUGCAGGAUGACGGCCCUAUGGGUUGUAAACUGCUUUUAUAAGGGAAUAAAGUGAGUCUCGUGAGACUUUUUGCAUGUACCUUAUGAAUAAGGACCGGCUAAUUCCGUGCCAGCAGCCGCGGUAAUACGGAAGGUCCGGGCGUUAUCCGGAUUUAUUGGGUUUAAAGGGAGCGUAGGCCGGAGAUUAAGCGUGUUGUGAAAUGUAGAUGCUCAACAUCUGCACUGCAGCGCGAACUGGUUUCCUUGAGUACGCACAAAGUGGGCGGAAUUCGUGGUGUAGCGGUGAAAUGCUUAGAUAUCACGAAGAACUCCGAUUGCGAAGGCAGCUCACUGGAGCGCAACUGACGCUGAAGCUCGAAAGUGCGGGUAUCGAACAGGAUUAGAUACCCUGGUAGUCCGCACGGUAAACGAUGGAUGCCCGCUGUUGGUCUGAAUAGGUCAGCGGCCAAGCGAAAGCAUUAAGCAUCCCACCUGGGGAGUACGCCGGCAACGGUGCAACUCAAAUGAAUUGACGG
rnacentral:rRNA from 1 species